GUUUCCAUAGCUCAGCUGGAUAGAGCAUACGCCUUCUAAGCGUACGGUCGAGUGUUCGAAUCACUCUGGAAACA
rnacentral:tRNA from 1 species